CCUACGGGUGGCAGCAGUGAGGAAUAUUGGUCAAUGGACGAGAGUCUGAACCAGCCAAGUAGCGUGAAGGAUGACUGCCCUAUGGGUUGUAAACUUCUUUUAUAUGGGAAUAAAAUGUUCCACGUGUGGGAUUUUGUAUGUACCAUCUGAAUAAGGAUCGGCUAACUCCGUUCCAGCAGCCGCGGUAAUACGGAGGAUCCGAGCGUUAUCCGGAUUUAUUGGGUUUAAAGGGAGCGUAGGUGGAUUGUUAAGUCAGUUGUGAAAGUUUGCGGCUCAACCGUAAAAUUGCAGUUGAAACUGGCAGUCUUGAGUACAGUAGAGGUGGGCGGAAUUCGUGGUGUAGCGGUGAAAUGCUUAGAUAUCACGAAGAACUCCGAUUGCGAAGGCAGUUCACUGGACUGCAACUGACACUGAGGCUCGAAAGUGUGGGUAUCAAACAGGAUUAGAUACCCGAGUAGUC
rnacentral:rRNA from 1 species